CCUACGGGUGGCUGCAGUGAGGAAUAUUGGUCAAUGGCCGUAAGGCUGAACCAGCCAUGCCGCGUGAAGGUCAGUGCCCUAUGGGCUUUAAACUUCUUUUGUGCGGGAGCAAUAAUGGGCACGUGUGGCCAGACGAGAGUACCGUACGAAUAAGCAUCGGCUCACUCCGUGCCAGCCGCCGCGGUAAUACGGGGGAUGCAAGCGUUAUCCGGAUUUAUUGGGUUUAAAGGGGGCGUAGGCUGUGAGGUAAGUCAGCGGUGAAAUGCCCCCGCUCAACGGGGUGAAGUGCCAUUGAUACUGCCUGGCUGGAAUGCGGAUGAGGUGGGAGGAAUGUGUGGUGUAGCGGUGAAAUGCAUAGAUAUCACACAGAACACCGAUUGCGAAGGCAUCUCACGAAUCCGCGAUUGACGCUGAUGCACGAAAGCGUGGGUAUCAAACAGGAUUAGAUACCCUUGUAGUC
rnacentral:rRNA from 1 species